rnacentral:rRNA from 1 species
UACAGAGGGGGCAAGCGUUGUUCGGAAUUACUGGGCGUAAAGGGCGCGUAGGCGGCCUUCUAAGUCGAACGUGAAAUCCCCGGGCUCAACCCGGGAACUGCGUCCGAUACUGGAAGGCUUGAAUCCGGGAGAGGGAUGCGGAAUUCCAGGUGUAGCGGUGAAAUGCGUAGAUAUCAGGAGGAACACCGGUGGCGAAGGCGGCUCUCUGGACGGUGACUGACGCUGAGACGCGAAAGCGUGGGGAGCAAACAGG